GAUGAACGCUGGCGGCGUGCCUAAUACAUGCAAGUCGAGCGAACAGAUGAGGAGCUUGCUCCUCUGACGUUAGCGGCGGACGGGUGAGUAACACGUGGAUAACCUACCUAUAAGACUGGGAUAACUUCGGGAAACCGGAGCUAAUACCGGAUAAUAUAUUGAACCGCAUGGUUCAAUAGUGAAAGACGGUUUUGCUGUCACUUAUAGAUGGAUCCGCGCCGCAUUAGCUAGUUGGAAAGGUAACGGCUUACCAAGGCAACGAUGCGUAGCCGACCUGAGAGGGUGAUCGGCCACACUGGAACUGAGACACGGUCCAGACUCCUACGGGAGGCAGCAGUAGGGAAUCUUCCGCAAUGGGCGAAAGCCUGACGGAGCAACGCCGCGUGAGUGAUGAAGGUCUUCGGAUCGUAAAACUCUGUUAUUAGGGAAGAACAAAUGUGUAAGUAACUAUGCACGUCUUGACGGUACCUAAUCAGAAAGCCACGGCUAACUACGUG
rnacentral:rRNA from 1 species